ACAUAAUUACACAGUAGACAAAUUAUCAUACUGUAUGACGACGAAGCAGUGUGAGACCAAAACUAAGAGCUAAAAGGUGCGAAGGAUGCACUUUUUACCUCUAACCAUUGGAAGGUAAUGAUAAAUGCGGUAUCUCGGAUUGGGCUGGAUUGGUCUGUUUUAGUAUAGAAGAUUUUCCAAGACAGCCGGCCUUGCACUUGAAUAUUAAAGGCACCUCAACGAGGCCCGGGACUGUGCCAUUGAAGAGGGUCAUAUUCUUUCAGUGAGUACCAACUACUUAAAAGCUGACUUGAAGCUUGGGAUUGAAUUUGAGUUCUCAUUGGUCUGUUGUGCAUUCAAUUCUGAACAUUUGUAGGGCUUCCACCAUAGUUAUCUAUUUGGGUUUUGCUCAAUAGUGGGAUUUUGACACCAGAUUUGGAUUGAAAAGUUGUAAUUUGGUUUUUAUUCAAAUGUGCUUUCUUGGAACUAAAUUCCGGUGGAAAAGAUGUAAUUUGGGUUUGAUUUAAAAGUGGUUAUUUGGCACUAAAUUUAAUCUAAAAAGAUGUAAUUUGAAUGAUAGUGGUUACUGCCUUUGGAAUUGGAAUUUGGAUCGUCUGUGUUCAUUGAUUUGGCUAACUUUUCCAUCUAGGGCUCAAGUUCUGUGAAUUACUGUUUGAUCUAGCGAGAUUUGAGGCUGGACAUUUGAAUUGAGAAUGAACAUAGAUGACAGAAUACCUGUGAUAUUUACAGACCAUGGAGAACCUUCAGAGCCCUCUCUGGUUUCAAGCCUAGCUGCAAAGCGCCACAGAAAGCUAAUUUCUGCUGCCCAUAUGAAGAGGAAGAAGUGGACUGAAGAGGAGGAAGAGACACUUAUUAAUAAAUACGGGGAGCUUCUUAGAUCUGGUGUUUUGGGCAAGCUUAAAACUAGGGAGAGAAAAUUUGAACCCAUUGCAGAAUAUGUGAAUGCCAUGCACCAUGCACAAGACCCUGUUGCCUUUCCUUGGGAGUGGACUUGGAGGGAUGCGUCAACGAAAGUGCAGAAUAUGAGGCAUCAAUAUCUGGGCGUUAAGCAGAAAAUCAGAAAAAAUAAUGUUGACCAUCUGGGAAAUGGUGGAGAUCAGGAGGAGUAUGAUUGGGAGGAAGGUGUUACCCACUGGCUUAAUUUUCUCAAAUACAAGGAAGUGUUUGGAGAUGUUGAGCUAGACCUGAAUGACAUGGUUCCUAGAGGGAGUAUUCAUGCGGGUGGCAACAUGAGAAAUGGUGUUGGAAAGGGAAGGAUUUGGUUUGGGGUAAGGAACAGAAGCCAGAACUUUCAAAGAGAUGUUGGUAUUGAUGGUAUGGUUGAAGGAGAUACAGACUUACCAUUUGGCAUAUGUUCUUAUGGUGGAGGAAGAGUUGCGCAGGAAGGGGGCGAGAAUGGGUCUGGCAUGUUAGCUCUGGGCUUUGGGGGUCUCGAAUAUGAUGGAGGAGAAGGGGAAGGAGACAGUGAAGGAGAAAGUGGCGAGGAGGAUGGGGAGAAGGAAGAGGAUGAUAGCUUGAUUCAGAGGAAUAGGAAAAGGAGGAAGAAAGUAGACAAGGCAUUCAUCUAUGAUGCCAAAAUUUUGGGCUUUUUGGGAGCUCAGUUUGCAGAAUUGAAGGAUAUUGAGAUGAGAAGAGAUGAAAGGGAGAGGCGAAGGGAGAUUGAGAUGGAAGAGAGGACAGCAAUGAAGGAGGAAGUAGAACGGGAGAGAGAACGAGAGAGAGAAGAUCGCCAGAGGGAAAGGGAGGAAAGGGAAAAGAUACGAGAAAAGGAGAGAGAAGAAAUGGAAAGAGUGAUUUCAGAGCAAGAGUGGGAAAGAAAUUUGAGAGAGCAGGAACAGAGAGAGCAAGAAAGACAUAGAUGGAGAUGUCUUGAAGAAAAGAGGGACAGGGCAGAAAUGCAAUGGAUGGAGACUAUGAUGAACUUGCAAAUGGAACACCAGACUCAAAUUAUGCAACUACAAGCACAGUUAGCUCAAGGUCAACAACAAAUUUCAACUCUUUUCUUUGCCCUUUUUGGACAAUUAUCUGGUCAAGGGAGUGACAUAACUGGUCAAGGGGUUUCUCUUAAUCCUGCUGUAUCCCAAAUCUUACGAAGUGUGCAACAACCAGCAGUUGGUCUUGUUCCUAAUAGUGACAGGAGAGAGGAAACUAAUGGUAGCCAGUACAUUGUGGAUGGAUAAUAUAAGGUUGCAUAUUCUUCCUGGGUAAUUGGUUCUAUUUGGUAUGUCGAGCUAGACAUACAUACAUGCAUAUUGCUAUGCAUACAGAGAUAGCUUGUGCCAAAAAUACAAUUACCUUGCAUGGGAGUUCAUUCAUUAUCAACUUGGGCGGGGAUGCUUUCUCUGUUAACUGUCACAUAAAAUCAAAAGAUCAUUUUUAUGGGGGGAUUCCUGUCCGCUUUAUUGCAGUCCGGGUGGAAUCAAUUAGUUGAUUUUACUCUCAUCUCAAAAAUGCUAUUUGGCUGAUCGCAUUCUUUGGGAGCAGAUACCCACUUCCACGCAUCUUUAUUGUUCACUGAAGGACAUUUGUCAUCAGUGGAGCUCCGAUGAAGAAGUAGACCAUAUGGCUUUAAAGGGUGCUUAAAGUUCUAUCUUCGAGAUGAUUUGUAGACAAGGAAGCAAGGUAAAUGCAAUAUGAAACUCUUGUUUUUCUGUUAGUUUGGAUGAUUACAUUGGGGAGGGAAAUGGAUUUUGCAGUUCCAAGAAACAAAAUUUUGCCUAUAUCCUCUGCUACUCCUUUCAUUGGGAAUGCAGAAAAAAUUGCAAGAUACAGAUGGAGAAGAUGCAAGAAAAUUGAUGUGCAAGGUAUAGUGGCAUAGCUGUAAUCCAAGUUGCCAACAUCAUUGGACACCAUUUGCAUAUUAAGUGUCUCAUCACCCUCGUAAAGGUAUGAUGCUAAACUUCCAAAUUUCAGAUCUCCCUUUUGAACUAUUAGACAUCAAUCCUGACAUGUAUGUCUCAUAACCUCAAUGAGGCAUAGUUUCUCUAAUCCACAUGCACCUCAGACUAUUGAGGAUCUAACUAUCGUAUGCUGCAUCCCUCCCUAUCUCCAAAGUAUUGGCCUCUUCAAAAUAGGACAAAUUCUUCAUCUUCAAUGAAGUCAUCAUCACUAUCAAUAUUUGGUGGUUCUUCAAUGAUCUCACUCUUACUUGACAUUCUCUUUCUCAUCCUUUUUUCAACUCUUCCUAAAAUUCUUCUUGCUUUGAUGCCAAAUCAGAAAAAUUAAACAUCAGAAAGAACAGAGACUGACUUAUUGAAUUGAUUAAAGAGAUUACAUAUGUAGAUACAUUGACUUCAACAAGAUCCUAUAAUUAUGCUAACAAAUAUGAUAGCUAACUGUAGAUUGUUGACAGUGAAUUGGAACUUAGAGACAGGUCUACAGUUCCUUAUUGACAUCUGUUCAAACUACUUACAGUUACGUUGGAGCAUAUUUUCUGACAAGAUAGUCCAGGUGAACUCGAGGAUACACAAGUUGAAACAAAGUGUCUUGGAAGAAUUGUAGCAGCACUAAAUAUUGUACAUGUACAUAUAUGUAUGUAUCUUAGAGUGGGCAACCCCUAUUUUCUAAUCUACAAUUCCUCCUCAUUGUAUUUUUUGUGUAUAACUUGAGUAUGAGACUAGUGCUUAUGAUUUCAAUUUCCGUGGGAUUUGACAUUUGUGGAGACAUGAGAGCCAGAGAAGUUAUUGCAGUCUUUUUUCUUUAUUGGCAAAGCUUUUGGAGCAUGCAAUGAUUUAUAAAGAUCACUUUUCACUGUGUUUUACAUUA